ACGAAACUGGUGAAGCAUCUGGAGAGGAGCAGAGCGGGUGAGGGUUGGCGUGUGGAGGGGUUGGGGAGAGUUGAGCAGGUACAGGACCAGGAGAGGGGUGUGGGGCUGUGUGGGCAGAGCCUCCAGAGGUCCCAGGGCCACAGGCGAAGAACCCUAGGCCUCUCUCCCCCAUCUUAGGUACUGCCCCCUUGGUGGGAGAAACCUGCUGCUCACCCCUGGGCACACAGAUGGUGCAGAGGAUGCAGGAGCUCUUGCAAAGGCUUGGGCCUGGGUGGUAAAUCGUGCAGAUUGCAAGGAGCACAUAGAUAGGCUCUCUAGCUCCCCUUAAGAAAGACUCUGGGACCAGUAUAUUAGAAUCCAAACGGGACUCUCCAAGGUGGGCAGAGGUUAUUCACAGAGCAGCCCUAAUCCACCAUGACCUGCUCAGCUGGAAAAUCCGCACAUCUUCCUGCUCCACGAAGCCUAGGCUAUGAUCAGUCUCAGUCCCGCAGUGAGCACACCUAGGUGUCCAGUGUCCCCUGGGCCGAAGCUGCAGCUCGUCAUGGAGUACGUGCAGGAGGGAUUUUGCAACUUGGGAUUCUUACACAGUGUCAGUCCAGCUGGAAUUUCUCCUUUUAAAAAUCCUCUCCAGACGGCUACCCACCCUUCCUCCUCCCUGGAUUCAAACCCUGCAGGGUGACCUUAGCCAAAUUGGAAACAUUAAUAUCGCCCAACAGAUGCAGGCUUUGGACACCAGUCUCUGCCAAUUAAAUCACUGGGUACAGGAACGAAAAACUACAGGGGCUGUCUACCUUAAAUUUGUGUUUUUUCAUCAUUGUUUAGAUGGUGUUCAAUUCCCUUCUAAAACUAAGGUUUUGCUAAGUUUGGUAAAUGCAAGUAAGGUGAGGUAUGAGUGUUUGAAAAAAGAAAUGUAUGGAAGAGGGAUAUUCUGAAGGGCCUUAAGAUAAUGUAAAGCCGGAUGGGUAAAAUGAAAUGGCAUUAGAAUGAAAGCAAGCAAAAGAAAGUGUUGAAGGUCUGAGAGGGAGGUUUUGGUGAGAAAUCGUGUGUACUCAGGUGUCUCCCCCUCCUCCAACACAUUCAUGGGCUUGCUCAUCUGACCAGCAAAGCCCCCUCUGACUGAACUUUUGUCAGCUGAAGCUGGGGCCAGGACAUCCAAACUUGGACCAACUCUCCCUUACUGCCAUGGAUCCUUCCCAUAGUAGGCCUGGUGAUCAUGAUCAUGCUUUUAUUUGUUUCUACACCCCAUUUUCUCUGCUUUAUCCAGGAAAAGCUCUCUGAGAUGAGCCUUCGCACUCCCAGACCCGGGAAAGCCAUUCCUGUUAUUGACAGAUGAGCAACAGGGCGUUGCUCUAGGGGUUCUGGGCCAACCUACGCCAGUCCAGCGAGCAGUUGCUUAUUUCUCUAAACAAAUGGAUCCCACUGUAAGAGGAUGGCAGCCCUGCCUGCGUGCACUUGCGGCAGCUUCUCGUCUCGCUAGACCUAAGGCCUUAAAACCCACACUGGGCCAACCUGUAAAUGUUAGUUCUCCACAUCGGCUCCAGGACCUGCUCACUCAUCAGGCUCUCUCCCCUCCAUCACCCUCUUGUCUGUUAGAUUUCUACUCUCUUUGUCAAAGACCCUCUCAUCUCCCUCUCCCAAUCCUCCACUCUCCAUCCUGCCAGGCUUCACGGGUGUUCCACUCCCUAACGCAGGUAACACCCUCUUCUUACUACGGUGGACACCAUCACCAUUCGGACAGUGGACCUGCCUUUAUCUCAAAGAUUACUCCACAGGUCUCCUCCCUGGGCAUCACCUGGGAACUACACAUUCCCUCCCGACUGCAAUCCUCUGGUAAGGUAGAACGGGUAAAUGGUCUGACCAGAGACCACCUAGCCAAACUCUCCACAGAGCCCACAAAUCCUGGGUGGAGCUGCUCCCACUGGCUUUAGUGCACCUCCGAACCACUCCCCAUGGCCCCUUGUUCCUGAGCCCCCUUGAACGGAUGUAUGGCAGACCUCUUCUUACUAACCAUGAGCUCCGCGUCCAACCUACACUGUUGGCUGGAUAUUUUCCAUACUUCUCUUUGCUCAGACAGCUGCUCCAAGAACACGCAGACCUUUGUCUGCCACAACCUGUGCCUCCGUCCCCUGAUGCACCUGUCAACCUGCUGUGCCCUGGAGACCAGGUUCUUCUGAAAGCCAUCUCUCCAAAAGCACUUCCGCCAAAGUGGAUGGGUCCACACACGAUCAUCCUGACUACACCAACGGCUGUCAAGGCAUCAGCUGUCCAGGGUCAAAGUGGUCCCUGUGGACAAGCAGUAUGUAUACAAGCACAUGGGCCCAACUCGGGUUUGCAUCAAUGCAUCCCUGGUCCACAUCCCACUCAGCCUAUAGAGUAGAGGCCCUCUGAUUCUCCUUCCUCUGUUUCUUUUUUUUUUUUUCUUUAAAGAUUUAUUUAUGCAAGCACUGGGUACAGUCAGAAACACAAGAGGGUGAGAGAACUCACCAGAGACAAAGCGAAGAGCAGAACAGGCAGACUUGACGAAGCACACUGCUGAGGGGAGCAGUGGGCGGCAGGAGAGGUCUGCCCGCCAUGUGGGACCCUCGCCUUGAGGCCAGGGAUUGAACCAGUGCUGUAGAGGCUGUGGGCAGCUUCACAACCCAGCGCUCAACCGUAAACCGCUGCGCCACCGGGGAGGCCCCUCUCCUUCCUCUGAUUCUAAUCCCAUCUCUUCAAGCCACUUCCAGUUCUUCUGUCUAUGCCCAGCAAUUCCAGAUCAGCACAGCCUCGGACCAGGUAUUACCACUCACAGGGCUUCUUAUCCUAAUCUCCUCAUUUUUUCUUUUUGCCCCAUGCUUAGUCCAUUUCAUCCAACACCGGAUCCAAGAAUUGUCCCAUACCACCUUUAACCAACUCCUUCUCCACCCAUAUCCUCGCGCUGCAAAGACUGUCUCAUAACCAGGCCUGAGCGCCCACCCUGGUCUUCGCCCCUGUCCAGCAGGAAGUAGCCAAAGAGAGAACCAUUGCCCCUUUUCAACAAAAGGCUGGUAUGAAAGGUCGAUGCAGGGGCCAGGAAUGGGGAAGCCCACAUACAAACAACAAGAUGGCCCUGACACCAGUACCCCUGAUUCCAUCAAACCAAAACUGAAGCCAUAAGCAGGAGAAAACAACUCGGCUCCACAAAAAAACAACUUAGUUCCCCCUAAGCCUGUUUCCCCCCGCUACCAACCCAGUUUUCCUGCCUAACCUCUCCUCACCCUAUGAAAUGACAUCUCCCCCCACAACGUGCACGAUUUCAGGGACACCCAUCUUGGGUAUGACGCUUGCCUGGGGGCGCAAUGAAUUGUCCCUUCCUUUGAGGAAGUUUAGCUUGGCUCCCCUUUUCUUUACUGCGCCAAACUGUUACAGGGCAGCCCCGGUAUAAAAAGGGUUGUUUGACUGUUUCCCGAUUCUGGUGGAGUGUUUCGGAUUCUGGUGGAGCUGCCCGGACAGGGCCGGUUCUGAGAUGGGCAGAGUUGGGGGUCCUGGAGGGCGGCGUCCUGGUGGUGAGAUGCUCUGUGAGGAGUCAGAGAAGCAGGGCUCAGAGGAGAGGAGACUCGGGGGAAUGCCCUGGGUGUGAGGUUUCCAGCUUUUCUCCCCAGGACCCCUCUCUCCAGCCUCUGGAUAACAAAACCUUGGGAAACAGGAAAGUAGAUCAUUUUUUCCUUUUACAACCUAUUUAGUAUUGAGGACUUAAAAAAAAAACAUAACAUUUAAUGAAUACUGUUAAAUUUACAGAAAAGUUGCAAAGAUAGUACAGUUCUUAUUCAUCCCACACCAUUUCCACUUUGUUAACAUCUUACAUGAAUACAGUUGUCUUUUUUUUUCACAGCUAAUGAAGCAAUGUUGACACAGUGACCAAACUCCGUGCUUAAUUUCAUCAGUUUUUCCUAAUGUACAUUUUAUGUUCCAUAAUCCAAAUUGCCUCACUCAGUUACAGCCAGUUCUCCUCGAUGUGCCUCUUGCUGACUGUUUCUCUGACUUUGCUUGUUUUUAUAACGUUGACAUUGGUGAGGAGUGAUAUUUUGGAGAGGUGUUGGGUUCACAGUUGGGGUUCUUGGGUCACGUGGGUUCACAGUUGGGGUUCUUGGGUCACGUCUGAGAAAAGUUUCACCACCCUCCCCCACCCACUGAGUAGGCUCUCUCCGACCAACGGAAAGGAGGGAAAAAAAAAACUGCAAGAACGAACUACAGAUCAAGUGGGACACUGAGUAGAGAGGAACUAUUUCAGGCACCGCACCCCACAAAUGGGAACUGUGGAGAACGGUGAAGAAAUCACCACAGAGGUGAUCGAGCGGCUCCGGGCGCCAUCAGAGGAAGACAAGGAUUCCACGGAGACCUACAAAUAGUCUAAGGCCAGCUGAGAACCACUGGGAAAAAGCAAAGGUCAGCAAGGACAGGUCUCUGGUGCCACCUCAUGACCAGAACAAAAUCACCAACUAACUGAUUCCCUGUUGGAACUAAGUAAAUACAGAGGGAGGGAACUGUAAGGGACAGUGCCCAGCAACACAGCAUCAACACUCUGGUGGAGUGUUGUCUCCAGUGCCAGUCUCAGUCUGGUGAACAGUUUCCGACACCCCUAAAGGAGCACUCCAAAGAGAUGGAAGCCACCCUUAGGACAACUUGGAUCCUUCUCCUUUGGGGACUUGCUGGCGCGGGGUUGCACAGAGAGGAGGGGGCAGAGCUUGCUGGCUUUCAGGGCUGCUUCAGAACCCAGGGGUUCUCUGAGCCCCUCUGGCUGCCCCCCCCAACAGUAAAUGGACUGAACAGUGAAGAGGAGGAGGAAGAGGAGGACAAGGGUCCCCUGACAAAACUAAGCAUCCCGGACGAUCUAGACAGCUGCGAGGCCAUGGUGAGCUUGGCCCUGGAGCCCCUUCCCUGCCCCACCUUCCCCCUCCCACCAGCACACCCUUCUUCUUGGUUCCCACCUCUGCUGGGAGCCAGUGGGUAGACACCAACACCAUCCUCGAAUCUCAGGUGUGCCCACGGAGGCCCUGAGAGGUGUGCCUCCCAACCUCCUGCCGGGCCCACAGGGGCACCCUGCACCUCUGGCCCACAGGUGGCAUUUUGUAACUCGGCCUUGGCCAGUGCUGAGGAAGAACAGGCGCGGCUGCACAGGCAGCUAAAGGAGCAAAAGCUGCUCUGCUGGCUCCUGGCUCAGCAGGUAGCCCCAUGGGACCAGGAGCCUGAGAAGAUGGAGGCCCCAGCCCCCGGGGGGAAAGUGUGCCUGGGGAGACCCACCAGGCCCUUCAGGGAGCCUGGUGAGAAGAAGAAACUGCAGGUGAGUGUGUGUAAGGCAGGAAGGAAUGGCCACAGGGCAGGUUUUCUGAUCCAGCAGACCGGGUAAAGGAGAAGUGAGUCCUGGAAGCCUCAGUGAAUUUUGCAGACUUUAUUGGGAUUUACCAGAUACAUGGCAGGUAGGGGUGCUAGGGGGCCAGGAGGCUGACAGGCCUCCCAGCCCGCAGCAAGUCUUCACUCUUUCUGGGCUCUCUGGCGUUCUCUGGUGGUCUCUGCUGCUCUGCUCUCUCGGUUCUGCUUCUGCUUCUCUGCUGCUGCUGGCGUCCCCAUGACGCCACCCUUAAAAGCCCAUCUUAGCCCAGGGGAAUCCCAUCUACCUAUGCCCACACCCUACUCCAGGUGCCCGCAUCAGGCAUGCAUUCGGGACCGCAGGGUUCCAUCAUCCAUCCUAUGGGCGGGAGAGCAGAAAAGCCUGAUACUUUUACCUUACCCUACAAUCCACCCCCUCAGGGUUUUCUGACAGACAGUCUAUACAAGUGAUACACACGUUUCUCUUGACGAAUAGGAACACUGCAGCCAUGGCCCACAAAAGCAAAUGAAAUAUAUCACAAUGAAAUAUAACAGAACACAAAUAAGUCCAGGCAGGGCAUCAACCUAGUGGCAAAAGACAAUUAUUGGCACCAGUAGAUGAUCCACCACUUCCGCUGCCGAAGGCACUGCUCAUGCGAGGGAGGGAACCACUCAGGCAUCAGCUGUCACACGCCAGGAGCCAUCAGGCCUCCCGGCCCCCUCCGGCUGCAGUCUCGGCCACAAGCCACACACCACAUCCACCCCCAGGAUGCACUCACUCUUGGGUUGGCGAUUCUGUACUCUUUGGGUGUAAUCGCCCAUCCCUCAGGGUUUUCUAUCUGUGGUCGCUCCAACGCUCCAGCAUGCAGGCCCCUGCACUCAGGCCAACCCACUGCACAAGCACAUGGGUCGGGGAUCCGUGGAUACAAGUCCACAUGCAGCCUCUCUUGGGUCCCCUCUUUGGCUGUGGGCUCCACCACAAGCCACGUUCCCUACCCACCCCCAAAGAUGGGCUCCUCAGCUCCUCACCCUCAACUAUGAGCAGGGCAUCACCCACAGGUGAUUUUAAAAGACUCACUGGCCUUUAGCUUACGUAGUGCGUAACAGCCGCUCAGGGCUUCCCGAACUUAGCACCAGCUUUUGCCUUCUCAGUUGGCUUUUCUCCUCUGCUUAGCUGCUGGGCAGUACACCGGCUGCCUUUGGCCACCAAGGCCCACUGACACCCCCAGACUCCCAUCUCUGGGGGUGGACAAUCCCAUCCUUCCUCAGGGUCCCCAAAACAUAUCAAACUUGCCAAGGUCCUCCCCCUUCUGGCGGGAUUGUUAGUCCAUUAGUCCAAGUUCAUCGGCUUUUCCCUUUGUCCACACUGGGGAGCUCUGAGUCGUGGUCCUUUCUCCCCCGAUGAUUCUUGCUGCCUAGUCGGGGAUUGUUGGCUGGUCCUCUCGGGCAUCUCCUCCUCCAGGCGAGGUCUCAUCCCGCAGCUCCCGGACUUUGCCCUUCCCCUGUCCCGCCAUGACACGUCCAGCGCUGUCACAGGCAAACACUGCUGCUCCUCAGUCCCUCCCGGUCUUCGGAGGGCUCCAUACCGGUCUGCAUGGAUCAUCGUGCUGACUUACACCAAUUGUAAGAGAGGAGGGAAUGGACACGGGGCAAGUUUUCUGAUCCAGCAGACUGGGUCCAGGAGAAGAGAGUCCUGGAAGCCUCAGUGGCUUUUGUAGGCUUUUAUUGGGAUUUACUGGAUACAUGGCAGGUAGGGGUGCUAGGGGGUCAGGAGGCUGGCAGGCCUCCCAGCCCCCAGCAAGUCUUCACUCUUUCUGGGCUCUCUGGCGUUCUCUGGUGGUCUCUGCUGCUCUGCUCUCUCGGUUCUGCUUACGUUUCUCUGCUUUUGCUGUGAAUGCCACCCUUAAAAGCCCAGUCUUAGCCCAGGUGAAUCCCAUCUACAUAUGCCCACACCCUACUCCAGGUGCCUGCAUCAGGCUUGCAUUCAGACCACAGGGUUCCCUCAUCUAUCCUAAAGGCGGGAGGGCAGAAAAGCCUGAUAGUUUUAUCUUACCCUACAGUGUGGUUUUCCGGAGGGCUGGGCGGGCUGGGUGCUGGGCAGGCCGGCACUGCUGAGCCCCUGAGCCCGCUGUCUGGCCGAGGGCCGCUUUACUGAGCUCAUGCAGGAGAAAGUGGGCUUACAGGACUGGAUGGAGGAGCUGGAGCAUCGAUGUAUCCAGAUGUCUGGAGAGACUGUCACCAUCGGAGAAUACAUCGCUCUCUACCAGUACCAGAGAGCAGUGAUGAGGGAGGAGCACCAAGAGAAGGAGGAGUCCAUAAGGCAGCUGGCCCAGGACAAAGAGGAGAUGAAGGUGAAGCUGUUAGAGCUGCAAGAGCUGGUUUUGCGGCUGGUGGAGGCACGCAACGAAUGGCGGGCGAAGCCCUGAGCACCUGCCCAGAACCCUGCUGCUGAGCCCACUAGCGCAUGCCUAGUCCCCAAGAAGCUUGGCACCGCCAACGUCCAAGGGCGGCGUCACGGGGACGCCAGCAGCAGCAGUAGAAGCCGAAGCUGAAGCCGGAAGAGAAGCCGAGAUCACCAGAGAGCCCAGAUAAAGUGAAGAUUUGCUUCACCCCUGCCUGCCAUAUGCCUGGUGAACCCCAAUAAAAAAACUGCAAAACCACUGAGGACUCUGACUCCUCCUUUACCCGGUCUGCAUGGGAUCAGAAAACCUGCGCUGUGCCCUGCUCCAGCCCUUACACUCUCUAAAGAACCAAGUAAGGUGAGCCUUGUCCACGAUGUGCAGCCGACCCAGGGCGAGGCCCAGCUGGGCCUGACUCCCCUCGAGAACGCCUCUGCGCAGCAGGUCGUUCAGCUGCUUCAAGAAAUGCAGAACUCCCAGGAAGGCGUCACCAUUGGAAACAGCCCAUGCCUUCCCUUCUUCUACCAGGCUGACGAGAAGGAGGUGAAGAUAAUGGUGGUCUAGGCCACCGGCAUGGGGCCGGAGGCUCUGCCCCCACCUGGCCCUCACCAACCCAUCCCUGUUCCCCAGGCUUUCCCCCCCAUCCUUUGGCUCUCCUUCCCAGUCGUCCUUUCAUCCCUCGGCUUAAAAAAGGGGUCCAACAACUCCCCUAUCUAAUAGGGUGAAAUAGGUGCAGACCCUAGCCUCUGAGGUUAGGGCUGUGUCUUCAUUUAACUCUGGACUAAUCAUACUUCCAGAGGCAAGGAGCUAGAAAUAUCCAGCUAGUUAUUUAGGGGGCUCCGUUCUACAAUAUAGGGGCUCCUUGAAUGACCAAUUGAAUCCUUACCAGGCCUUCUUGCAGAGGGCCUAGGUUAUAUUAGGCAAUUUUGGGCCACGUGCCCCCCACCUCACCCCAACCAUGUCGAGCGGGGCAGCACUUUGAAAGCCCAGCACGGGGGCUAAGUCCAGACAGAGAUACCAGCUGAGGCAGGUGGGCACCAACACCUGUCUAGAGUGUAGCCACAGAGAUAGCAGUGGUUUAUUUGAGACCACCCAGAUCCACAAAGGGGUGGCCUCCCCUGCUCCCUUUUGAAAUUUCCCCAUGGGCCUUUGCACCCAAUUUUGUUUUUGUUUUUCUUUGUUUUGUUUUGUUUUUAAUUUUUUGUUGGACCCAAUAAUUGUUUUGAUUUUUCUUUAUUUUUUUUUUUAUUUUUACCUUUAUCACAGCGGAGGCUGUGGUGGCCCCUGGGAGAGGAGGUUUCUAUGAAUCAGUUGACAUGGAGGAAACUUAUUUAUAGAUCGCCCAGGACAGAGGAAGGAGGCAAGGCCAGGGAGUGGUUCCUGGUGUUUCAC